CACGGAGUUAGCCGAUCCUUAUUCCUUCGGUACAUUCAGCUAUCUACACGUAGAUAGGUUUAUUCCCGAAUAAAAAGCAGUUUACGACCCAGAGGGCUGUCUUCCUGCACGCGGCAUGGCUGGUUCAGAGUUCCCUCCAUUGACCAAUAUUCCUUACUGCUGCCUCCCGUAGGAGUCUGGUCCGUGUCUCAGUACCAGUGUGGGGGGUCAUCCUCUCAGAUCCCCUAGUCAUCGUCGCCUUGGUGGGCCGUUACCCCGCCAACUAGCUAAUGACACGCAUGCCCAUCUUAAUCCUAUAAAUAUUUGAACAUUGGAUAAUGCUAUCCUGUGUUUUAUGCGGUGUUAAUCCGAAUUUCUUCGGGCUAUCCCCCUGAUUAAGGUAGGUUGCAUACGCGUUACGCACCCGUGCGCCACUUUCAUGAAGAGCAAGCUCCUACAAUAUCGUUCGACUUGCAUGUAUUAGGCCUGCCGCUCGCGUUCACUUCCUGGACGCCGAGGACUAA
rnacentral:rRNA from 1 species